rnacentral:lncRNA from 1 species
AGCUCUGGGGCUUCAGUCAAUGACUCAGGGUAGCCACCGAACAUGAUGCUCGGGCAGUGGGUGCCACCUGGACUCCACUCUCCCCUCUCUCUGGGAUCAUAGAGUCCAAGGUGUUCUGUGGCCUCUCGGCCAAUCCCAGCAGCUCAGCGUGCAGAAGACCGAGGAGCCAUUGGAAUUCAACACAACACGAAAUAAUCAACAAAUUCGGGGAAUGUUAAUCUGACCAUCACCAGUUACAAAUGAUGUUUCAUGCUACCUUCUAUUCCUGCCUUCAUAAAUCAAGGAAAAGAAAAAGAGAACAUAUAUCCCCCUACCUUUUGAUUUCCAACAGUCUACUGAGAGGCCAAGAUUAUUUGCAGGGAAAGAAAAGGGGUCAAAAUGUUUUGCCAGUAACUCCCAAAUCAUCUACAGCCAAGGAGAAAAGUGUUUCAAGACAGAGGUGCUCAAUGGUAUCAAAUACUGCCAACAGACCAAGUAAUACAUGCAUUGAAGUGUCUACUGGAUCUAGCUAUAUAUGAAGAAACUGAGGCAGACAGAGGUGAAGAAACUUGCACAAGGUCAAAGAACAAACGAUACAUAUUUUAAUAUGAUGAGUCUCCUGGGAUCUUUUAAAACGAAGUUGUUCAUACAUUAUAAUAAAUCCAUUUAAAUCACAGUG